UAAGGCUUGAGAAUCCAAAAAACCGCAGGCAUCUGUGCAGUCGACGAAGGACCGAUCUGCACGCCGGCGACAAACCAUCGGUCACAGGGUGUUCUCCGGCGGCGGUUUCGUCGAUCUGUGCAAGGGCUGUGCAAGGAGGCGGCGGCGGAGGAAUUCUGAUUAAUCCAGGACCAGGAGGCGGCGGCGUUCAGGAGUCGGCGGCGGCGGCGGCGUCCGAGUAUUCCAAGGAGGAGGCGGUGGAACCUUUGGGCGUUUCGAAAGUGAGUUAAAUAUGCCUCGUGGGAAGAAAUCAUCUGCUAGAAUGGUUAAUAAAGAGCGUCCAAAUGGUAUAAACUAUGUUGAAACAAGUUUUGUUCCAUCAUAUGAUUACAUAUAAUGAGGGGUGCAUCUACAAGAUACUGUGCAACUAUGAUUGGAUGGACAAAUAACUACGUCAAGGAUGAUGUAAUGAGGGGUGCAUCUACAUAUUAUCAAAAUUUCUUGUCCGUGCCAGAUGAGAAGAUGGAAAAGAUAUUUGGAUGACUUCUGGUUUGAAUAAUAAACUAUGUUGAAACAAGUUUUGUUCCAUCAUAUGAUUACAUAUGAUGUACAAGGGGUUAAACAAUUUUAUUAUCAUUUAGAUCUAUUUUUGAAUUUGUUUAUGAAGC